GGCCCGCAGCAAGCGGUGGAGUAUGUGGUUUAAUUCGAUGCAACGCGAAGAACCUUACCAGGGUUUGACAUCCUGCGAAUCUCUUGGAAACGAGAGAGUGCCUUCGGGAGCGCAGUGACAGGUGGUGCGAUGGCUGUCGUCAGCUCGUGUCGUGAGAUGUUGGGUUAAGUCCCGCAACGAGCGCAACCCACGUCUUUAGUUGCCAGCAUUUAGUUGGGCACUCUAGAGAGACCGCCGGUGAUAAACCGGAGAAGGUGUGGAUGACGUCAAGUCAUCAUGCCCCUUACAUCUGGGCUACACACGUACUACAAUGCUACGGACAAAGAGCAGCAAGUUUCGCGAGGACAAGCAAAAUCCCCAUAAACGUGGCAUCAGUUCAGA
rnacentral:rRNA from 1 species